rnacentral:rRNA from 1 species
AUCUAUGGCCAUACCACCAUGAAUGCACCUGCUCUUAUCUGAUCUUGGAAUGUAAGCAGAGUUGGGCCUGGUUAGUUC